GACGAACGCUGGCGGCGUGCUUAACACAUGCAAGUCGAACGGAGAGGCCCUGCUUUUGUGGGGUGCUCGAGUGGCGAACGGGUGAGUAACACGUGAGUAACCUGCCCUUGACUUUGGGAUAACUUCAGGAAACUGGGGCUAAUACCGGAUAGGAGCUCCUGCUGCAUGGUGGGGGUUGGAAAGUUUCGGCGGUUGGGGAUGGACUCGCGGCUUAUCAGCUUGUUGGUGGGGUAGUGGCUUACCAAGGCUUUGACGGGUAGCCGGCCUGAGAGGGUGACCGGCCACAUUGGGACUGAGAUAGGGCCCAGACUCCUACGGGAGGCAGCAGUGGGGAAUAUUGCACAAUGGGCGGAAGCCUGAUGCAGCAACGCCGCGUGCGGGAUGACGGCCUUCGGGUUGUAAACCGCUUUCGCCUGUGACGAAGCGUGAGUGACGGUAAUGGGUAAAGAAGCACCGGCUAACUACGUG
rnacentral:rRNA from 1 species